AAACGAAACAACAACCAAUGAGAAACGAGAAACAUGCAAGAAACACAUCACGUGACAUUCCAAUGGACUCCGCUGUGUUUGUUGCAUCAUUUUAUUCAUUUUUCUUUGGUCAUUUGGCGGCCAUUUGCAUGAAUCAUUGGCGUCUCUUCGUCUUCUUUGGCCUUUUUGUUCAACAUUGCGCCCAUUUUUCGGUUAACGUGGUUUGAAUUUACGUCUCGAGUUAAAUGUUUCAUUUGCGAUGGUUUUUUGGUUACUUUUUGCGUUUUAAAGUUAAUAUUUUAAUACUACGUGAUGGACCGGAGGUAAUUAUGUAAUAUUCCACUCAUAAGUGAGAAUUAUUUUCGUGUAAUAUGAAUUAGGUAUUAUAAGUGUCGAAUGCGGCAUGGUUGAAAUGCAUGGCCAUCGUUACAUUGACAUGUAUAAAAUGUAGAAUCGUUACCAUGCUUUGACCGGCCGGACGUCGUAGAGAUAUUAGACCUAAGCUGCUUCUGUGUUGAGAUUCUUAAAUCCGUAUGACGAUAUGUAGAGCUAUUACGAUGAGUCGAUGACAUUACCGCACCGAAAAAUGCUAAAUAUUACAGAAUGAAUACAGUAAUAUUUUCGUUCCAAGAAGUCCCUCGAAGUAUUCGUAGAUUGAACCUGAACGUACUGAAACGCGCGCUGGAAAUUACAGCUACAGCCCGAUGUAAAAUAUUAUACGUGACCGGACGCCGUAGAAAUAAGGCCUAAGCUGCUUCGGUGUUGUGAAUUGUGAUUCCUAAAGCUGUACGACGAUAUAAAGUACUAAUAGGUACCUUCGAUGACGUUAGUCGUUAUCGAACCGAAAUAUACAAAACAGUACAGAAUUAAUAUGAUUAGGUAUAAUUUAGUGCCAUGAAAUCUCUCUGAAGUACUCGCACAUUGAACGUCCUGAAACGUCGGAAACAGCAGCUUUUUACGCGAAGUGUAUACUCAUUACGAUGAAUGGUUUCGUAGAAUAAAUCGCUGACGAUGUUGGGCUGAGAAAUCUCUCGACGUAUUUGCGUAUUGAACGUCUUGAAACGCCGGAGACUGCAGAAUACCGAUGCAGUUCAUCUCAUUCUUUAAGGUAUUUUACGCACUUGCUUGACAAACACGAAAUUAUGUCGAAAACGUGCUUACUUCACGAGUAUGCUGUGUUCUUUUCUGAAGUUGAUGAUACACCGAGACAGAUUGCCUUACAUUCCUUCUAAACGUCACCGCGAGUCCUUGCACAUCGGAAGUCUUAACUGAAGUGAACGAUGAAAAUACUCUUUGCUUGCUGCCGAUCGUCUCCAAGCUGCCUUGAAGAGCCACACUGGGCAGAAUUAUUUCGAUCUUCUUUACCUGCAAUGUUGGCGUACUUGACUCGAUGAUGAAGUCCAUGUGACCAAGCAGUUGUAAAAUUUGCUCAGAUUGUUUUCCGGAUAGUUACUAUGACUUGAAAUUCUUCGAAGAAUGCUGCGAGAUUAUACCUACCUACGAAUCCUACGUUGCUGUGUGAAACAUCGGCUGAUCAGUUCAGAUGAUAUUUCGUGCAUGCGUCGUUGUUUGAAUUCGCCGAAUCCUUACGUAUCCAAGCCCUGUAUUCGUGAACUAACUUGAGAGAAACGUCAACGGUCGUCGAUUUCGACGAACAACUGGAAGAACGAGUUGAUUGUACCUGAUUGCGCAGCCCACUUCUUCUCUAGAUGUCACUUCAUAUCUACUGGAUUUGCUACGGUGAUACGAGCUCUAUUAUUGUUGACAUUUAUGCGAUACUUGAUGGCUUCCUGGUAGCAUGCAAAUGGUUUGAAACAAUUGGAAAUUUUUUUUCGAUCGACACAACGUUUAUAUCCGAAAUUACGUGAAAAUAACUUCCGGUUACGUCCGAUGAAAAACCAUUGCUACUUAGCUUACGAUUAAUUUUCUGGGAAUUCGAUCGAAUUGACCAUCGUAACCCCGCCCCCCUGGCUUAUUAGGCUUAUUAGCUACUUUGAAGCAAGAAUUUUGAGAAAUUUUUACGAUAGACGUCUCAAAAAUUUCAAUUUUUGGAAUGAACUUGAAAUAUGUAUUACGGAAAUGGAAAUGAUUGAAAAUAUUAUUUAUUCAAGCUCUGCACUCGUGCAUAUUUGGAAGUACUUUGGUAUCAAUACCUUCGCGUGAUGUUUUCUUUUUCAAAAUAACGAUAUUUACUGAGAUAUGUAUUGCGAAUCGGUGUGCUUAGAAGACGAAUCAUAGUGAACCACCUACCAUAUAUCGCACCAUAUUAUUAUGAAGUUUCUUUUUCGAGCUACGCGUCAUCGUCAUAGAUUGAUAUUUAUUGAUACCUUAUCAUUAAUGUAUGUUUAGAAAAUAUUAAUUUUAAUGUUUUUCCCGUACCCCCCCCCCCCCACCCCCACGAGCCUAUUUUUCUCGCUAUUCGAUAUCUGUUCUACGAAUUUGGAUUUUUGUUCGCUAAUAGUGGCAUAUACGAGUACCUACUUGACGGGAUUUUGAUUCCCUUUCCCCUGCCUUAUUUUGAUACUGGAUUGCUUAAUUGAAAUUUUUGUUCGCCGAUAGGUAUCGGUGCACACUUGAGGGUAUUUUGACCCCCCCCCCCUCCCACCCCAUCAUUGGAGGAUAUGAUUUUGGAUGUACCUGGACCUACUUACGAACAUGCUUGAUAGAAGUUUCAAUUUUGAUUCAACCUCCCUCCCUUCCUUCCCCAUGUUUUGGGGAUUUCAUUUUUGAUUUACGAAUUAGAACUAUCGCUCUCUGAUGUUGAUGCAUGCUUGAUGCAAUUUUCAAUUUUGAUUCAACCUCUCCACCCCCCCCCCCCUCCCACACACUGUUUUGGAGAUUUGAUUUUGGAUCUACGAAUUUGAGCUCCCACUGUCUGAUGUUGAUACUUACAUGGUUGAUGGGAUUUUCAAUUUUGAUUCAGCCCUCCUCCCCCCAACCAUAUUUUGGGGAGGGUUUGAUUUUGGAUUUACGAAUUUGAAUUCGCGCUCUCUGAUACUAGUGUACAGAAUUAUGUUUUGAAUUUUGAUAUCGUUAUUGAUUUUUCUUUGAUGGCGUUUUGAUUCAGUCCCCCCUCGCGAUAUUUUUUCAUAAUUGAAUUUGAUGCGGCCACACUUUUGAUGCAAUGUCUUUUCCCUUCCCCUACCCUAUUGUAUUCAGAAUUUGAUUUUUGAUUUCUGAUACGUCAGAUUAAUUCUUUGGUAGAGUUCCCCUCCGCCCUGUUCUUUUUUAUGUUUUUUUUUUUUUUUUUUUUUUUUUUGAUAUUGAUAGGUAUCGUAUUUAGGGAAUUUUGAAUCCUCCCCCCCCCCUUAUUUUUUUCGGAAUCGGAUACUGAAUCGGUGAAUUUGAACUCCCAUUCUCUCGUUUCAUUCGUGAUGAAUAAUUCGAUUCGCGUAAUUGAGUCUUCGUUGUUUUUUUUUUUGUUUAAUUUUUUUUUUUUAAUUCUCGCGAUUUGAUUGUACGUAUUAUUUGCUCGCGAAAAUCAGCGUUCGUUGUUCGGUUUUUGAUUUUGCGAUCGUGAUUCGGGGUUUCGGAUGUGUUAUUAUUACAAAACCGGUUGCAGAUCACAACAAUUUUCGUCCAGGGGUGUGAUGUUUGCCUGUAGCGCUGGUGGAGAGUGUAUUUUCGCGAGCAGUCGAAUGUUUUAGAGUGAUGCGAGUGGUGCUAGUGGUGGUGUUCUGUAAGGGAAUGCGGUUGUGGCUGGUCUUGUUAAGUUAAUGUCCGUCCUUGCCUGUUAAGCGUCAACCCACAACCGUACUUUUUCCACUGUUUCGCGUCAACGUGGCGGCGUGAUCCCUUGAAAAUUUUUUGCUUUCUGAUAGCAUGGCGCCUACCUUAGCCAUUUACGUAGUUCUGCAUUCGCGAAUCCACGUACGUACUCGCGCGGCGUACGUGGAGUUCACUGUUUUCGGCCGGUACGGAGCCGAUCAGCUGGAUUUCAUGCAGCAUCUACAACCGAAGUAAGUCGAAACGCAUCCACGGUUCACGGGCUCUCGCUCAGGUUCCGUCAUGAUGGUCAUCAAAGCCGUAUGGAGCAGGGAGAGCGUCAUUCGGCGACUUGUCUGCUACCGUGCUUCGGCACAGCGGCCUGCUCAAAGGUGACGUAGACCCCUGGCUCACCCCUGCGACGCUCAGUGGGGUCGUCAUUACGGCGGCUUCGACUGUAUAUCCAAGUCACAAUAAGGGGUUGUCAUAAGAGGUUAUGACUCAUACGGUGGAAACGUUUGCGUUCCAUCUAGUGGUGCGAGCCGUUGGCCUAUGACCAGCUCAAUCUGCGAACCUUAGUUGCGGGCUGAUAAAGAUGUGAGCGGGGAUGGUUAAUGUCAGCCUAUCCUGCGUACGAUAUUGCCAUUUGCCCGCCGUCUACGAUCAGUCCUGCCUUCAUCUGGAUCCCCAGAGAAUCGUCUCUCCGAUCCAACCCCACGCAGUAAGUGGUGCACUCUAGGUUUUUGCAUCAUUUACUCGCGUGAGAGUGAGGUUUUUGAGAGAGAGAAAUGUCAAAGGCUGACCUGGUUUUGUUGCUUCGGUCAACUUGCCAGGCAGGUGAGCGUGCGUGAAAAGGUGUAUGGUGAUCUGGACUGCGUACGAUGUUUGGUUGAAUUUGCUUGAAAUUUCGAUGGAAAAUCUUUUAAUUCGGAUGAUGAUUUGUGGAAAUUUUCGGUUGAACUUCGAUAUUUUGAAAAUGGUUGAAGUUGUGGAGUAUUUGAUCGCGUUGAAAUGUAAAUGUGUAAUCGAACGUGUUAUUUUUUUUUUGAAAAAACGAAAGGUGAUAGGUUGGUAGUUGUUUUGAAAUACGAGUUGCAAUAUUCGAGAAUUUCGUCACAUUGGAAUGAAAAACGUCGUUGAAAAUGUCGAAAUUUCGUAAUUCGAGUACAUUCGCGAUGAUACGAUGCAGGAAAGAGUAAAGAUUUGGUUUUAAAAUGGGUUACAAACGUGUAUUUAUUUGAAAAAUCAGUUUUCGUACGUGCUACUCGAGUGCAAAAAUAUUGAAAGAAUACCGAUUAUAAUAACCCUCCCUCCCAACUACGUACUUCCAAAUCGUCAUUUUUCAAGUAUCGAAUUUGUUUUAAGUGUAAUUGUUGAUACUAUUAUGUUUGUUUUCAAGAAUACGUUUGUUAUUUUUGUUUUGUUACCUAUGAUUGUUUAUUCGGCGUUCUAUGCUGUGUAUUGUAUUGUAUUGUAUUGUAUUAUUAAUUAAGUGCAAUUUAAUUGUAAAGAUCGAUGAAGGUUUUUCACGUCGAGCGGCCGGCGUGUUUUUUUUUAGCCCAGCCCAGAUCGAUCUAUUGUAAUGCCAACGUGAAAUAUUGUUGGUAUUUUUUUUCUUUGCCGCUGUUUUUUGAUUUUUGGUUGUGUGGUGUUUGGUUUUAUUGAUGAUGGUUUUUUUACAGCGAAUUCAUCCACGA